AAUUAUCAUUUGAAUUUUUACCACUGCAUUAGAAAGUUUGGGAGCAUUCAUAUUACAAUGAUUGGUUGCAAUCAUGUUGGAGAGAAAAGGAUGGUUACUAUGAGGUUGAGAAAUAAAAAGAAAAGAAAAAGAAAAAUAAUUGAAAAAGAAAAAAGAAAAAAGAAAUAGAAAAUAAAUUGUGCUAAUAAGUUGUGUGAAAAAGUGUAACAAUUGCGCAAUGAGAAAAAGGUGAAUGAAAUUUGUGAAUGCUUGAGAUUGUGAAAAGUGAACACUCCCAAUGAUUAGGCAAUAUUUUUGUUUC
rnacentral:lncRNA from 1 species